UACGUAGGGAGCAAGCGUUGUCCGGAAUCAUUGGGCGUAAAGCGCGCGUAGGUGGCCCUGUAAGUCCGCUCUGAAAGUCGAAGGCUCAACCUUCGAAAGCGGGUGGAUACUGCAGGGCUAGAGUCCGGAAGAGGCGAGUGGAAUUCCUGGUGUAGCGGUGAAAUGCGUAGAUAUUGGGAGGAACACCAGUGGCGAAGGCGGCUCACUGGACCGGAACUGACGCUGAGGCGCGAAAGCCAGGGGAGCAAACGGG
rnacentral:rRNA from 1 species